rnacentral:rRNA from 1 species
UACGUAGGGUGCAAGCGUUAUCCGGAUUUACUGGGUGUAAAGGGCGAGUAGACGGCGAUGCAAGUCAGAUGUGAAAUGCUAGAGCUUAACUUUAGAACUGCAUCUGAAACUGUAUUGCUAGAGUGCAGGAGAGGUAAGCGGAAUUCCUAGUGUAGCGGUGAAAUGCGUAGAUAUUAGGAGGAACACCAGUGGCGAAGGCGGCUUACUGGACGACAACUGACGCUGAGGCUCGAAAGCGUGGGGAGCAAACAGG